rnacentral:rRNA from 1 species
UGGGGAAUAUUGGACAAUGGGCGAAAGCCUGAUCCAGCAAUGCCGCGUGUGUGAAGAAGGUCUUCGGAUUGUAAAGCACUUUCGACGGGGACGAUGAUGACGGUACCCGUAGAAGAAGCCCCGGCUAACUUCGUGCCAGCAGCCGCGGUAAUACGAAGGGGGCUAGCGUUGCUCGGAAUGACUGGGCGUAAAGGGCGCGUAGGCGGAUGGCACAGUCAGAUGUGAAAUUCCUGGGCUUAACCUGGGGGCUGCAUUUGAGACGUGUUGUCUAGAGUGUGAAAGAGGGUCGUGGAAUUCCCAGUGUAGAGGUGAAAUUCGUAGAUAUUGGGAAGAACACCGGUGGCGAAGGCGGCGACCUGGUUCAUAACUGACGCUGAGGCGCGAAAGCGUGGGGAGCAAACA